GGCUGAGGGACGAGGGCUCUGCCCUGGGUGAGGAGCUGGUUCUACCCUGGGCGCUGCUGAGGAUAAAAGAGUUCGGUUGCUCGGUUCCCUCGGAGGGGAAACAGCGGGAGCUGAGAGGCUGAGUGCUCUCCCAGCAAAACAGCUCUCUGAGGAAAUUACCAAAGAGCUCAAAGCUGUGCUGGUGCCCCUCACCAGACUGCACAGCAGCAUGUGUCUGCCCAGGAGCACCUGAGGACACCGAGGCAUCAGAUGCAUCUUCACUCACACCAGUGGAUCAGGCAGCUACAACCAGCUCCAUUUCACUACCAGAACAUCCUCCAGCUGGACAGCAAAGCCCUAACCUUAGGAAAACUGUGACCGUGCCAGAAUUUCUGUCUAGCUCACUGUGAUUAAUAGACCUCGGACUGUAAGGAGGGAGUAUUAAUAUCAUAAAUAACACACUUCAUCAGGAAGGUUAAUUUUCAGACUAUCCGAAAGCAAUCUACAGACCCCUAAAAGUCAUAGGUGGGCUGAAAAUGAAGAUAAUUCUCCCAACACUGCCAGCAAAAUAACUUAUGGGGCAGUGUUUUCCCUAGGGAGCUCACAUGUAAGUGCCUAACCUAAGACUCUUAAAGUAAUCAUCUUAUCAGCCCUUACUAUGUCAUCCUGUGCCCUAAAGGAAGACAAAAAUAGACUGUUGAAGGAUUUAUGAUGAAAACACUCCUGUUCUCAUAAACUUGUAUCUGAGCCUCGGUGAAUGGUUUCCUGCAUGCUGGGAAAAGGAAUGAAUUAAAAAUAAAUUAGAAGAAUAUGAAGAGAUCAAAUAAUAGUUUUUUAAUAUUUGUUAUCGGGAUAAUGAGCAUAGCAGAGAAACUGAUUGGAAAGUAAUUUGGUAAGUGAUACAAGCAGAAAGACGUUCAGGAAGAUGGAAUGGAAAUAUCUUGGGGAACAUCUGGCAAAUUAAACAAUUUCAAUUAGGCUUACGAGGAAACAAGGAAAUCCAUGCCAGAUUGAGGAGAGAAGCAUUUAAAACCACUUGGAAUCCUGAUGGCUUCUCAAAUAACCUGUCAACUCAGAACACUGUGAUUCUCAGAGCAGUAGGUAGCUCACAGGAGUUGGUUUUUAAUUUCCCUUUUUGUUUUUCCCCAAGGAUACAUUCUCCUUAAGUAUACAAAACCAAGAUUUUACAGGUACAGUUAAAGAGGCUAUCAUGAAAGAUUAGGUUUAUUGUC